GGAGGAAAAGAAACCAACAGGGAUUGCCUCAGUAACGGCGAGUGAAGCGGCAACAGCUCAAAUUUGAAAUCUGGCUCUUUCAGGGUCCGAGUUGUAAUUUGUAGAAGAUGCUUCGGGUGUGGCUCCGGUCUAAGUUCCUUGGAACAGGACGUCAUAGAGGGUGAGAAUCCCGUACGUGACUGGUUGCCUUCGCCCAUGUGAAGCUCUUUCGACGAGUCGAGUUGUUUGGGAAUGCAGCUCAAAAUGGGUGGUAAAUUUCAUCUAAAGCUAAAUAUUGGCCAGAGACCGAUAGCGCACAAGUAGAGUGAUCGAAAGAUGAAAAGCACUUUGGAAAGAGAGUUAAACAGUACGUGAAAUUGUUGAAAGGGAAGCGCUUGCAACCAGACUUGCGCGCUGCCGAUCAUCCGGGGUUCUCUCCGGUGCACUCGGUUGCGUUCAGGCCAGCAUCGGUUUGGGUGGUUGGAUAAAGGCCUUGGGAAUGUAGCUUCUUUCGGGGAGUGUUAUAGCCCUCGGUGCAAUGCAGCCUACCCGGACCGAGGACCGCGCUUCGGCUAGGAUGCUGGCGUAAUGGUUGUAAGCGACCCGUCUUGA
rnacentral:rRNA from 1 species